rnacentral:rRNA from 1 species
GACGAACGCUGGCGGCGUGCUUAACACAUGCAAGUCGAACGAAGAGCGAUGGACGCUUGCUUCUAUCAAUCUUAGUGGCGAACGGGUGAGUAACGCGUAAUCAACCUGCCCUUCAGAGGGGGACAACAGUUGGAAACGACUGCUAAUACCGCAUACGAUCUAAUCUCGGCAUCGAGGAUAGAUGAAAGGUGGCCUCUACAUGUAAGCUAUCACUGAAGGAGGGGAUUGCGUCUGAUUAGCUAGUUGGCGGGGUAACGGCCCACCAAGGCGAUGAUCAGUAGCCGGUCUGAGGGGAUGAACGGCCACAUUGGGACUGAGACACAGCCCAGACUCCUACGGGAGGCAGCAGGGGGGAAUCUUGCGCAAGGGACGAAAGACUGACGGAGCAACGCCGCGUGAGCGAGGACGGCCUUCGGGUUGGAAAGCUCGGUUAAUCGGGACGAAAGGCCUUCUUGCAAAUAGUGAGAAGGAUUGACGGUACCGGAAUAGAAAGCCACGGCUAACUACGUG